GAUGAAGAACGCAGCGAAAUGCGAUAAGUAGUGUGAAUUGCAGAAUUCAGUGAAUCAUCGAAUCUUUGAACGCACAUUGCGGCCAUAGGUAUUCCUUUGGCCAUGCCUGUUCGGGCGUCAUUUACACCCUCAAGCCUAGCUUGGUGUUGGGCGUCUGUCCCGCCGUUCUCGCGCGCGGACUCGCCUCAAAGUCAUUGGCGGCGGUCGUGCCGGCCCCCUCGCGCAGCACAUUUGCGCUUCUCGGAGGCCCGGCGGAUCCGCGCUCCAGCAAGACCUUUCACGACUUGACCUCGGAUCAGGUAGGGAUACCCGCUGAACUUAAGCAUAUCAAUAAGCGGAGGA
rnacentral:misc_RNA from 1 species